AGCUCCAAUAGCGUAUAUUAAUGUUGUUGCGGUUAAAAAGCUCGUAGUUGGAUCUCUGCGCGCAUGGCGCGGUUCGAUUGUUUGUCGUGACUGCGCUCGUUUGCGCGCUUCUUCUGGCGGGCGUUUUGGGUCGGUGCUCUUAACCGAGUGUCGUCUCAUGCCCGCCGUUUUACUUUGAAAAAAUUAGAGUGCUCAAAGCAGGCCUUGACCGCUUGAAUAUUCGUGCAUGGAAUAAUGGAAUAGGACGUCGUUUCUAUUUUCGUUGGUUUUCUGAACUCGACGUAAUGAUUAAUAGGGACAGUCGGGGUGAUUAGUAUUCAGACGACAGAGGUGAAAUUCUUGGACCGUCUGAAGACUAACAGCAGCGAAAGCGUCUCACAAGGAUGUUUUCAUUAAUCAA
rnacentral:rRNA from 1 species